AGACCACAGAUACUUGGGUCCCACCCCCAGUGAUUCUGACAUAGUUGUUAUGGGGUGAAGCCUGGGUAUUGGCAGUUUUCAGAGCUCCCCAGGUGACGCUAAUGUGCAGCAAGAACACGUCUCACCUGCAGGCCUCUCCCAGGGGGCUCGCAUUGCCCUGGCUGGUGAUGCUUCCUUGGCUUCAUCAGACUUUCACUCCUGCUCAGGAAGAGGCACCUCGAGAGCCCGGGGGAAGCAGAACCAGGAGUGGCCAGGGAUGCCCAGCACAGUUGAGAAGCUGAGCCCCUGCAACGGGCAGCUGGGCCCCGGCCACAGAGGUGCGCAUUGGGCACCUUCUGCCCUGCCCACCCCAGGCCAGGCGAGUGUGCUGGCUGGACACAGGCUUCAGGGGCUGUGUGUCUGUGGCCAUCGUUCCUCCGGCAGCAGAAACCCAGGAGAGAGAACGGCUGGAGCAGCUGAGGCAGGAGAUCCACCCCAGUCCUGCCUUCUACACUUUCUUCCCUCUGGAUGAGUUCUCCCCUGGGAAGCUCAAUGGUCCUCCCUAGAAAUGGACCCCAGCAGACCCCCAGCAUCGGGAAUCCCGGGACCCACACGUGCUGCUGACAACGGGGAGCACCCGAGACGGGAAGGUUCACACAUACAUCUAGCUUUUCACUCCCUCCCACG
rnacentral:lncRNA from 1 species